GAACGCACAUUGCGCCCGGUGGUAUUCCGCCGGGCAUGCCUGUUCGAGCGUCAGUACAAUACUCAAGCUCAGCUUGGUCUUGAGCCCAGUGGGAAACCGCGGGCUUUAAAAUCAGUGGCGGCGCCAUCUGGCUCUAAGCGUAGUAAUACUCCUCGCUCUUGAGUUCCAGGUGGAUGCUGGCCAGCAACCCCCAACUUUCUAAGUUUGACCUCGGAUCAGGUAGGGAUACCCGCUGAACUUAAG
rnacentral:misc_RNA from 1 species